rnacentral:lncRNA from 1 species
AUUUGAAAAAGAGCUGGCUUCUGACUGUAAGCUAUCAACAUAUCUGGGAAUAACCUUUAUCGAGUUGCAUCGAGAAAGAGUUAAAAGAUCUCUCAGUCGUUACGCCCAUUUGAUUCUCUUGUUUUGAGUGUGGGAUCUUUACCAUCUAGCCAUUGAAAGUAGUCUAGUUAAGCCUUUGAAACCAAGGAAAACAUUCCAAUCACAUCUGAUGAAACAAUAGGCAGAUUAAAAAAAAA